rnacentral:rRNA from 1 species
ACAGCAGUCGCCGCGGGAAUACGGAGGGUGCAAGCGUUAAUCGGAAUUACUGGGCGUAAAGCGCACGCAGGCGGUUUGUUAAGUCAGAUGUGAAAUCCCCGAGCUUAACUUGGGAACUGCAUUUGAAACUGGCAAGCUAGAGUCUUGUAGAGGGGGGUAGAAUUCCAGGUGUAGCGGUGAAAUGCGUAGAGAUCUGGAGGAAUACCGGUGGCGAAGGCGCCCCCCUGGACAAAGACUGACGCUCAGGUGCGAAAGCGUGGGGAGCAAACAGGAUUAGAUACCCCUGUAGUCCCUGUCUCUUAUAC